GGUAGACGUGUAAAAACAUGCAUAUAUAUAUUAUAUAAAAAACAAUAUGUGAAUACUAUAUAAGAAAAAUGCAUAUAUGAACAUAGAGAUGAUGAUAGUAAUAAUGAUAAUAUAUAAAAUAUAAUUAAAUAAAAAAAUAGUUCAAAAAGAAAAAGUGGAUUAAAUUGAACAAAAGACGAAAAAUCGGGGAUAAAUUCGAAAUAAAUAAAAGGACCCAAUUGAAUGCGCAGGAAACAAUGGAGGACCAAAAGGGGAAUUAAUCCCUCCCUCCUACAUGUUGCGCAGCACUGGAUUAAAUCGUCACGCGGGUAAAAUAUUUGGGCCAAAUUUUAAAGAGGAAAAAGAACUUGAUUAAAACGCGUCACAAAAGGAGGAGGGCUAAUUGCGCAAUUUUCCCAUUUAAGGUGGAUAUGCGCAGACCUUUACCCCCCAAACUAAAUGGCUCAGCUUUAAAUCAUUCUGUUUCUUUUUUUCUAAAAGAAAAGCAGUGGCUCUGCUAAGGUUCUUUUAACCCAUUCCGCGCCAUCGUCCAUCUGCCCCUUCACCAAAGCUCCGACGACGGCGGAGAUGGUGGUGGCGCGGCGACCUCGACGAACUGGUAAGUGCUUUUCCCUUCUUUUCUUUGUUGUUUUAGGUAAAAAUGAAAUGAAAAAAUAAAGGAAAAUAAAAAGAAAUAUAUAAACAAAAAGAAUAGUGAAUACUACAAAGUAAAAAAACCUUUGAAAAAACAAAUUUCCCUUGUAUUUCUCCGUAUUUUUCCUUCUAUUUUCGUAUCUCCUUUUACUGAAUCCCCCCUAUUUUACAAAAUCAAACGGCUUUAUAUAGCCUAAAACUUAUUUGUUUUACACUAUAUUUUCGCUAAUGGACUCUCUGAGUCCGUGUUUGCAGGUGCGUGGAGAGUUUGGCAUGCGUGGAGGCCGAAACUUGCGACGUCCGGAUGCUGCUGGAGGCGCUGAAGGCGGGGGGAGCUGCGGCGGCUACUGGCAAAUGCUGCUAGGGUUCUCUUUUUUUGGGGGGGUUAAGGCUAGGGUUUAAUUUGGGCUUUGUAAAAAUUGGGCUGUGUCCCAUUAUUUAUUCCACACGGGCCUGGGCCAAUUUGGGCCUACUACAUGAUCAAUACAAAGAAAUCGAAAAAAAGGAAAAGAUCAGUUUUUUUGGAAGGUGGUUCUCUUUUCUUUUUCUUUCUCUGCGUUUCAUUACUGUUUUCUUUGAUUCUUUCUAUUUCCUAUACGAAAAGAGGGGAGAAAAGGGGGGACCUUACCUUGUCGUCGGCGCCGAUGAAGUCCUUUUCCCUUUCGCAUGAAUCGGGGUCGGAUGGACGGAGGCUUGGUUCCUGAAACAGCUAAGG
rnacentral:lncRNA from 1 species